GACGAACGCUGGCGGCGUGCUUAACACAUGCAAGUCGAACGCUGAAGCUCAGCUUUUGUUGGGUGGAUGAGUGGCGAACGGGUGAGUAACACGUGAGUAACCUGCCCCCUUCUUUGGGAUAACGCCCGGAAACGGGUGCUAAUACUGGAUAUUCACUGGUCUUCGCAUGGGGGUUGGUGGAAAGGGUUUUUCUGGUGGGGGAUGGGCUCGCGGCCUAUCAGCUUGUUGGUGGGGUGAUGGCCUACCAAGGCUUUGACGGGUAGCCGGCCUGGGAGGGUGACCGGUCACAUUGGGACUGAGAUACGGCCCAGACUCCUACGGGGGGCAGCAGUGGGGAAUAUUGCACAAUGGGCGCAAGCCUGAUGCAGCGACGCCGCGUGAGGGAUGGAGGCCUUCGGGUCGUGAACCUCUUUCGCUCAUGGUCAAGCCGCAACAAUGGUUGUGGUGAGGGUAGUGGGUAAAGAAGCGCCGGCUAACUACGUG
rnacentral:rRNA from 1 species